rnacentral:rRNA from 1 species
AACUUCAACAACGGAUCUCUGUCUGCAUCGAGAAGAACGCAGCAAAAGCGAUAAUAAUGAAUGCAGAAUCAGUGAAUCAUCGAAUCUUGAACGCACAUUGCCCGCCAGAUUCUGCGCAUGCCGUCGAGCGUCAUUCAACCCCAAGCCCAGCUGGUGGGAGCUGCAUCCGCUGCACCCCCAAAUACAUGCGUCACGUCGAGCUCCAUAGCGAGUAAUUACAUAUCGUACUGUAACGCGCGGCCACGCCGUUAAACCCAACUUCGAAUUGACCUCGAUCAGUAGAAACCCCGAACUAAGCAUAUCAAUAACGAGAAAAGAACCAACAGGAGCCAAACGCGAUGAACGCAACACCAAAUUGAAAUCGCUUCGCCGAUUAAUGUAGAGAUAUUGAUGCGGCCUCCGAUCCUGAACGGACGCCAAGAGGUGAGAGCCCGCUGGAUGCCAAAUCUCUGUAAAUCCUUCGACAGCGAGUAUGGAAUGCUCUAAAGGAUAAUCCAAACAAAUACGCCAGAGACGAUAGCGCACAAAGAGUGAUCGAAAGAAAAAGCACUUGAAAAGAGUAAAAAGACGAAAUGUGAAAGGAAGCGUUAUGACCAGACGGCUGUAAUCACUGGUCUCUCCAGUCACUUUCCAGCCCAGCCAGCAUCAUUUCGCCGGGGAUAAAGACUCGGAAUGUGCUCCCCCGGAUUAAGCCCGUGUAAUACCCUGUGGGACGAGUCGCGCUCUGCAAGAGCGCGUAAUGUCAUCAACGACCCGCUUAAACACGACCAAGAUCGUCCGUACGAGUCGGGUCAAACCCCUACGCGAAUGAAAAACGCAGUGAAGCUCGCGCAUCAUCGACCGAUCCGAUCUCGAGAUUGAGUAAAGCAUACGCCGACCCGAAAGAAGAACAGCCGUAGGAACCAAGAAACUCUGGAGCCGCACGUCGACUGCAAAUCGAUCGUCAAACAUGCAGGGGCGAAAGACUAAUCGAACCUCUAGUACGUUCCGCGAAUUCCCUCAGAUAGCAUGUAACUCAGUUUAUGAGUAAGCGAAGAUAGACCGGGCGCAUUUAGCCUCACCAUCCAAAUUAAAUAUAGAACCUUGCUUAAUGAACGAGCACGAAGUAUCAACACAUGCCAUUUUGGUAGCAACUGCAGCGGAUAACGACGCGAGGUAAGUCCAAGAACGCUCAUCAGACACCACAAAAGUUAACAUCUUCACAGGACGCCAUGAAUCGAAUCCGCUAGGACUGUGUACAACCACCUGCCGAAUUACUAGCCCUGAAAGAUGGACGCUCAAGUCUCACCAUACCCGCCUCAGUAGAACGAAGCCCUGAGGAUAGCGACGUGAGGUCAGACAACCAGCUGAGCCCGGACGCCCAGGCAAUCUUGGGUGUAGCAAAUACAAUGAAACGAAACCGAAAGGGGAAAUUCCAUUGAACACGUGACAGGGUAGUCAUCCAAGCUAUAGGAAGUCCUUCAAAGCGCACUUGCGCCGCAGCGAAGACCGUCAAUAUUCCGCACCUGAUGUGGUUUGCGCGCAACGCAACUGAACGUGGAGACGACGCGGGGCCCCAAGCAGAGUUCUCUUUCUUCUUAACAGUCUCUCACCCUGAAAUCGGUUUGUCCGGAGCUAGGUUAAUGGCUGGAAGAGCCCGGCACCUCUGCGGUUUGGUGCGCUCUCGACGUCCUUGAAAAUCCACGGAAGAAAUAAUUCUCACGCCAGGUCGUACUCAUAACCGCAGCAGGUCUCCAAGGUGAACAGCCUCUGUUGAUAGAACAAUGUAGAUAAGGAAGUCGGCAAAAUAUCCGUAACUUCGGGAAAAGGAUUGGCUCUAAGGGUUGGGCACGUGGGCCUUGGCGGACGUCCUGGGAGCAGGCCGCCAUAUCGGGCAACCGACCGGAGGCGGCCAGCAUCCGGGUGCUGAUGCCCUUGGCAGGCUCGGCCGUCCGGCGUGCGGUUAACAACCAACUUAGAACUGUACGGACAAGGGAAUCUGACUGUCUAAUAAAACAUAGCAUUGCGAUGGCCAGAAAGUGUGUUGACGCAAUGUGAUUCUGCCCAGUGCUCUGAAUGUCAAAGUGAAGUAAUUCAAAGCGCGGUAAACGGCGGGAGUAACUAUGACUCUCUUAAGGUAGCCAAAUGCCUCGUCAUCUAAUAGUGACGCGCAUGAAUGGAUUAACGAGAUUCCCACUGUCCUAUCUACUAUCUAGCGAAACACAGCCAAGGAACGGCUGGCAGAAUCAGCGGGAAAGAAGACCCUGUUGAGCUUGACUCUAGUUUGACAUUGUGAAAAGACAUAGGAGGUGUAGAAUAGGUGGGAGCUUCGCGCCGGUGAAAUACCACUACUCCUAUGUUUUUUACUUAUUCAAUGAAGCGGGCUGGAUUUACGUCCAACUUCUGUUUUAAGUCCUUCGCGGGCCGACCCGGUUGAAGACAUUGUCAGGUGGGGAGUUUGGCUGGGGCGGCACAUCUGUUAAACCAUAACGCAGGUGUCCUAAGGGGCUCAUGG